CCCGGUGCCCAUGGGCUGUUGGUCACACCUGAUCCCAUCCCGAACUCAGUCGUUAAGCAGCAGCCGCCGAUGAUAGUGGUUCGUCCGUGAAAGUAGGUUCGUGCCGGGC
rnacentral:rRNA from 1 species